UUCUACAGUGUUCUCAUUGAGAUCUCUGACCAUUAGAUAAAAUAAUAAAUAGCUUAGUUAAAUGAGUCAUCUUGUUAUUUGUGCAAAUUCAGCCUGUUAUCCCAUUAAGAAAUUUGAAAACAAUGGAAUUUUGGCGAGGAAGACUUUAUCGCUUGCUGAUUCCUCAAAAAGUGCAACCAAAGAUGAGAUCAUUGGGGUGGAUCUUGAUGCUGAUUUGAUGGAGAUCAAGAAACGGAACUUGAUCCAAUCUCUAUAGUUGGAAUGGAAGGACUCGGUAAGACACUUUAUGUUAGAAAAAUUUACGAUCAUGGAUGGUAUAUGAAAUACUACGUGACGUGACGAUACUGAACAAUCAUUUAAAAAUGAUGUGGAAGUAGAAUUUUGCUAACUAGUAAAUAGGAAAAUAUUCUUAAAGGGAAGGAGACGUCUUAUUAUAAUGGAUGAUGUGUGGGAUAUGGAGGUCUCUUAUCGUACGAAUGAUAUAUGAUAAGAAUUUGUUAGCUAAGAGCCUAAGAAACGUGGAAUCGUACGAAUGAUAUAUGAUAAGAAUCUUGUUGACUAAGAGCCUGGGAUAAGUGGAAGGAGGUAUCUUGUUGUGAUGGAUGAUGUUUUGAAUAUUCGAUCUAGAGCAAUAUGAAAUAUUGAUACAAGUAAGAUUGAGUAAAAUUUUGUUAACUAGUAGACUAAAAGCAUCACUAAACGAAAGGAGAUAUCCCAUUGUAAUGGAUGAUGUAUGGGACAAUAUGAAAUAGAUAUAAAUAAUAUGGAAGUAGAAUCUUGUUAACUAGUAGUCUAGAGAACCUCGCUAUUUAUGCUAGCUGCUGUUGUUAUCUUCAUCAUGUGAACUUUCUAAAUAAGCAUGAAAGAUGGAAUUUAUCUUGUGAAGAAGUGUUUGAAAAACUUGAUGUCCUUCUGAGAUGGAGAAAUUCAUGAAAUAGAUUGUCAAACAUCGUAAAGAACCCAUAUCAAAGGCCUGCAAACCACAACAUUAUGUUGCAGGUUCCCUUGGAAAUAUAUGACGAUUUUUGGUUCGAUGCCCGAUCUUGAAGGUGUCAAAUUCUUGUAUCAAUUUAAUUGUAUGAUUGUAGGGAUUCGCUUGUAGCUUCGGCUCAACAAAUACUGAAGGAACAAGCUUUCAUAACUUGUUCUGUAGUUCUGCACUCCAAUGUAGUUCUAUUACAAUUUAGCUU